AUUGAACGCUGGCGGUAUGCUUAACACAUGCAAGUCGAACGGCAGCACGAGAGAGUUUACUCUUUUGGUGGCGAGUGGCGGACGGGUGAGUAAUACAUAGGAAUCUGCCUUAUAGUUUGGGAUAACUACUCGAAAGAGUGGCUAAUACCGGAUGUGGACUACGGUUUAAAGCAGGGGAUCUUCGGACCUUGCGCUAUAAGAUGAGCCUAUGCAAGAUUAGCUAGUUGGUGAGGUAAAGGCUCACCAAGGCGACGAUCUUUAGCUGGUCUGAGCGGAUGAUCAGCCACACUGGGACUGGGACACGGCCCAGACUCCUACGGGAGGCAGCAGUGGGGAAUAUUGGACAAUGGGCGGAAGCCUGAUCCAGCAAUACCGCGUGUGUGAAGAAGGCCUUCGGGUUGUAAAGCACUUUUGUCAGGGAGAAUGGUAGUAGAGGUUAAUACCCUUUGCUAUUGAUGUUACCUGAAGAAUAAGCACCGGCUAACUCCGUGCCAGCAGCCGCGGUAA
rnacentral:rRNA from 1 species